AUAUGCUCAGACAGCAAAACAAUAAUUUUAAAAUGAAAUACUAGGUAACCGGCGUCUAUGUAGCGAAGGCGCCGGCAGCGAUCGGUCACUUCGGCUUGGGUUCCCACCAGCAAAGGCUACAGUAACCUGUAUGAUGGAGGACCUGAUUCUAGUAGCCAAUGGACUGGUGUUCCAGAUGGACUAUAUAAACCUUGGAUGAAGCUGAAAUUAUACAUGAAUUGGCAGAAACAUUGAAACCUACCUUUCUGAUGGGAGGCUAGAUGCGUUUAGGUGCAGCAGGUCCUGGCUUGUGGCUUGGAAGACCACCUUAGGUUGAAAACUGAUUUUCUCCUGUCAUUGACCUUCUUGACUCGUAUCUUCGGCAGCAUUUCGACCCUGAUCUUCCAGAAUAAGAGACGAAAGAAUCAUAACGGUUUCUCAAUGUGACGUGGAUGUGAACUGGCUUUGAGGAAGGUCUUUGGAAUCUUGCCAAAAUUUUUCUGCAAAGUGACUAGAAAAAUAUUGAAGUCUGACUUGUUCGUAAAUGCAGGAGAUGCCUUCUUCAUGACAGGAAGAAACCCUAAGUAAAUGCACACCUGCGACUUCUGAUAGGCAGAGCCACAGUUUCCAAUGUAGUGGAGGACCAGGAUACAAGGCUCCUUAUUUAGGGAUGGACCCUGGCUUGUGCCUGAAUAGUUCCAGAUGAAAGCCUAAGACUGCAGUUAUGGAACUGAACAAGAUGCUGUACUCUUUUUGGUCCAAUAAAAUACUUGUAUGAAAACCUUCAA